ensembl:miRNA Mir5113 microRNA 5113
UAGGGACGUGGCAGAGGAGGAGAGAGAUCCUAUUUAACUCAUUGCAACACCAGGGUCACUCCCUCCUCUCUGCUGUCCCUGG